GACUGUAGAACUUUCUCCCUC
rnacentral:miRNA from 1 species